UACGGGAGGCAGCAGUGGGGAAUAUUGCACAAUGGGCGCAAGCCUGAUGCAGCCAUGCCGCGUGUAUGAAGAAGGCCUUCGGGUUGUAAAGUACUUUCAGUCGUGAGGAAGGUGUUAAGGUUAAUAACCUUAGCAAUUGACGUUAGCGACAGAAGAAGCACCGGCUAACUCCGUGCCAGCAGCCGCGGUAAUACGGAGGGUGCGAGCGUUAAUCGGAAUUACUGGGCAUAAAGGGCACGCAGGCGGUUAAUUAAGUUGGAUGUGAAAUCCCCGGGCUUAACCUGGGAAUGGCAUUCAAGACUGGUUAGCUAGAGUCUUGUAGAGGGGGUAGAAUUCCAUGUGUAGCGGUGAAAUGCGUAGAGAUGUGGAGGAAUCCGGUGGCGAAGGCGGCCCCUGGGACAAAGACUGACGCUCAUGUGCGAAAGCGUGGGGAGCAAACAGGGAUUAGAUACC
rnacentral:rRNA from 1 species